rnacentral:misc_RNA from 1 species
GAUGAAGAACGCAGCGAAAUGCGAUAAGUAAUGUGAAUUGCAGAAUUCAGUGAAUCAUCGAAUCUUUGAACGCACAUUGCGCCCGGCAGUAAUCUGCCGGGCAUGCCUGUCCGAGCGUCAUUUCACCCCUCGAGCCGCUUUUAGUGGAUCGGUGUUGGGGCACUACGGUAAAACGUAGGCCCCGAAAUGAAGUGGCGGUCCCGCCGCGGUGCCCCCAUGCGUAGUAACGUUUAGUCUCGCAUCGGGUCCCGGCGGAGGCCUGCCGUCAAGCCUUUUAUUCUCAGAAUAGUUUGACCUCGGAUCAGGUAGGGUUACCCGCUGAACUUAAGCAUAUCAAUAAGCGGAGGA